GCAUUAAUGGGGUAGUGGUAACCUGGGUCGUUGCCAUUGAGCCAAGCUCGACCCGCCGGGGGUUCGAUUCCCUCUUAAUGCA
rnacentral:tRNA from 1 species